GAUCCUGGCUCAGAUUGAACGCUGGCGGCAUGCCUUACACAUGCAAGUCGAACGGCAGCACGGACUUCGGUCUGGUGGCGAGUGGCGAACGGGUGAGUAAUGUAUCGGAACGUACCUUUCAGUGGGGGAUAACGUAGCGAAAGUUACGCUAAUACCGCAUAUUCUGUGAGCAGGAAAGCAGGGGAUCGCAAGACCUUGCGCUGAUUGAGCGGCCGAUAUCAGAUUAGCUAGUUGGUGGGGUAAAGGCCUACCAAGGCUACGAUCUGUAGCGGGUCUGAGAGGAUGAUCCGCCACACUGGAACUGAGACACGGUCCAGACUCCUACGGGAGGCAGCAGUGGGGAAUUUUGGACAAUGGGGGCAACCCUGAUCCAGCCAUGCCGCGUGAGUGAAGAAGGCCUGG
rnacentral:rRNA from 1 species